CCUACGGGUGGCAGCAGUGGGGAAUAUUGGGCAAUGGAGGCAACUCUUACCCAGCAAUGCCGCGUGAAUGAAGAAGGUCUUCGGAUUGUAAAGCUCUUUAAUUGGGGACGAAAAAAAUGACGGUACCCAAUGAAUAAGCCCCCGCUAACUACGUGCCAGCAGCCGCUGUAAUACGUAGGGGGCAAGCGUUGUUCGGAAUGACGUGGCGUAAAGGGUGUGUAGGCGGUGUAGCAAGUUAGAAGUGAAAUACCUAGGGCUUAACUCAGGGGCUGCUUCUAAAACUGCUAGACUUGAGUGGAGUAGAGGAAAGUGGAAUUCCUAGUGUAGCGGUGGAAUGCGUAGAUAUUAGGAGGAACAUCAGUGGCGAAGGCGACUUUCUGGACUGUAACUGACGCUGAGGCACGAAAGUGUGGGGAGCAAACAGGAUUAGAUACCCUUGUAGUC
rnacentral:rRNA from 1 species